rnacentral:rRNA from 1 species
CAGGAUGAACGCUGGCGGCGUGCUUAACACAUGCAAGUCGAACGAACCUUCGGGUUAGUGGCGGACGGGUGAGUAACGCGUGGGAAUCUGCCCUCAGGAGGGGGAUAACGGCUGGAAACGGCCGCUAAUACCCCAUAUGCCGAGAGGUGAAAAGAAAUUCGCCUGAGGAUGAGCCCGCGUCUGAUUAGCUAGUUGGUGGGGUAAGAGCUCACCAAGGCGACGAUCAGUAGCUGGUCUGAGAGGAUGAUCAGCCACACUGGGACUGAGACACGGCCCAGACUCCUACGGGAGGCAGCAGUGGGGAAUUUUCCGCAAUGGGCGAAAGCCUGACGGAGCAACGCCGCGUGAGGGAUGAAGGCCUCUGGGCUGUAAACCUCUUUUCUCAAGGAAGAAGACAUGACGGUACUUGAGGAAUAAGCCACGGCUAAUUCCGUGCCAGCAGCCGCGGUAAUACGGGAGUGGCAAGCGUUAUCCGGAAUUAUUGGGCGUAAAGCGUCCGCAGGCGGCCCUGUAAGUCUGUCGUUAAAGCGUGGAGCUUAACUCCAUUUAAGCGAUGGAAACUACAGGGCUUGAGUGUGGUAGGGGCAGAGGGAAUUCCCGGUGUAGCGGUGAAAUGCGUAGAUAUCGGGAAGAACACCAGUGGCGAAGGCGCUCUGCUGGGCCAUAACUGACGCUCAUGGACGAAAGCCAGGGGAGCGAAAGGGAUUAGAUACCCCUGUAGUCCUGGCCGUAAACGAUGAACACUAGGUGUCGGGGGAAUCGACCCCCUCGGUGUCGUAGCCAACGCGUUAAGUGUUCCGCCUGGGGAGUACGCACGCAAGUGUGAAACUCAAAGGAAUUGACGGGGGCCCGCACAAGCGGUGGAGUAUGUGGUUUAAUUCGAUGCAACGCGAAGAACCUUACCAGGGUUUGACAUCCUGCGAACCCCUUGGAAACGAGGGAGUGCCUUCGGGAGCGCAGAGACAGGUGGUGCAUGGCUGUCGUCAGCUCGUGUCGUGAGAUGUUGGGUUAAGUCCCGCAACGAGCGCAACCCACGUCUUUAGUUGCCAGCAUUCAGUUGGGCACUCUAGAGAGACCGCCGGUGAUAAACCGGAGGAAGGUGUGGAUGACGUCAAGUCAUCAUGCCCCUUACAUCCUGGGCUACACACGUACUACAAUGCUACGGACAAAGGGCAGCAAGCUCGCGAGAGUUAGCAAAUCCCAUAAACCGUGGCUCAGUUCAGAUCGUAGGCUGCAACUCGCCUACGUGAAGGAGGAAUCGCUAGUAAUCGCAGGUCAGCAUACUGCGGUGAAUACGUUCCCGGGCCUUGUACACACCGCCCGUCACACCAUGGAAGUUGGCCAUGCCCGAAGUCGUUACUCCAACC